rnacentral:rRNA from 1 species
GACACGUGAAAUCCUGUCUGAAGAUGGGGGGACCAUCCUCCAAGGCUAAAUACUCAUCAUCGACCGAUAGUGAACCAGUACCGUGAGGGAAAGGCGAAAAGAACCCCGGGAGGGGAGUGAAAUAGAACCUGAAACCUGAUGCAUACAAACAGUGGGAGCACCCUUAUGGUGUGACUGCGUACCUUUUGUAUAAUGGGUCAACGACUUACAUUCAGUAGCGAGCUUAACCGGAUAGGGGAGGCGUAGGGAAACCGAGUCUUAAUAGGGCGAAUGAGUUGCUGGGUGUAGACCCGAAACCGAGUGAUCUAUCCAUGGCCAGGAUGAAGGUGCCGUAACAGGUACUGGAGGUCCGAACCCACGCAUGUUGCAAAAUGCGGGGAUGAGCUGUGGAUAGGGGUGAAAGGCUAAACAAACUCGGAGAUAGCUGGUUCUCCCCGAAAACUAUUUAGGUAGUGCCUCGAGUAUGAGACUGAUGGGGGUAAAGCACUGUUAUGGCUAGGGGGUUAUUGCAACUUACCAACCCAUGGCAAACUAAGAAUACCAUCAAGUGGUUCCUCGGGAGACAGACAGCGGGUGCUAACGUCCGUUGUCAAGAGGGAAACAACCCAGACCGCCAGCUAAGGUCCCAAAUGAUAGAUUAAGUGGUAAACGAAGUGGGAAGGCCCAGACAGCCAGGAUGUUGGCUUAGAAGCAGCCAUCAUUUAAAGAAAGCGUAAUAGCUCACUGGUCGAGUCUUCCUGCGCGGAAGAUGUAACGGGGCUCAAAUCUGUAACCGAAGCUGCGGAUGCACCUAGUGCAUGGUAGGGGAGCGUUCUGUAGGCCUGAGAAGGUGUAUCGUAAGGUAUGCUGGAGGUAUCAGAAGUGCGAAUGUUGACAUGAGUAGCGAUAAAGCGGGUGAAAAGCCCGCUCGCCGAAAGCCCAAGGUUUCCUACGCAACGUUCAUCGGCGUAGGGUGAGUCGGCCCCUAAGGCGAGGCAGAGAUGCGUAGUCGAUGGGAAACGGGUUAAUAUUCCCGUACUUGAUUCAAAUGCGAUGUGGGGACGGAGAAGGUUAUGCUGGCAAUCUGUUGGAAUAGAUUGUUUAAGCCGGUAGGUAGAAGGAGUAGGCAAAUCCGCUUCUUUAAUAUCGAGACGUGAUGACGAGUGUCUACGGACAUGAAGCAGCAAAUACCACGCUUCCAGGAAAAGCCACUAAGCUUCAGUUUGAAUUGAACCGUACCGCAAACCGACACAGGUGGGCAGGAUGAGAAUUCUAAGGCGCUUGAGAGAACUCGGGAGAAGGAACUCGGCAAAUUGAUACCGUAACUUCGGGAGAAGGUAUGCCCUCUAAUGUGAAAGACUUGCUCUGUAAGCAUAGGAGGGUCGCAGAGAAUCGGUGGCUGCGACUGUUUAUUAAAAACACAGCACUCUGCAAACACGAAAGUGGACGUAUAGGGUGUGACGCCUGCCCGGUGCUGGAAGGUUAAUUGAAGAUGUGAGAGCAUCGGAUCGAAGCCCCAGUAAACGGCGGCCGUAACUAUAACGGUCCUAAGGUAGCGAAAUUCCUUGUCGGGU